GCGUUGUCCGGAAUUAUUGGGCGUAAAGAGCUCGUAGGCGGUCUGUUGCGUCCGCUGUGAAAACUCGGGGCUUAACCCCGAGCCUGCAGUGGAUACGGGCAGACUAGAGGUAGGUAGGGGAGAAUGGAAUUCCCGGUGUAGCGGUGAAAUGCGCAGAUAUCGGGAGGAACACCGGUGGCGAAGGCGGUUCUCUGGGCCUUACCUGACGCUGAGGAGCGAAAGCGUG
rnacentral:rRNA from 1 species